GGAAGGUCCAGGCGUUAUCCGGAUUUAUUGGGUUUAAAGGGAGCGCAGGCGGCGGCGUAAGUCAGUUGUGAAAUCGUGCGGCUUAACCGUGCAAUUGCAGUUGAUACUGCGUCGCUUGAGUACGCACAAAGUGGGCGGAAUUCGUGGUGUAGCGGUGAAAUGCUUAGAUAUCGCGAAGAACUCCGAUUGCGAAGGCAGCUCACUGGAGCGCAACUGACGCUGAAGCUCGAAAGUGCGGGUAUCGAACAGGAUUAGAUACCCUGGUAGUCCGCACGGUAAACGAUGGAUGCCCGCUGUUGGUCUGAACAGGUCAGCGGCCAAGCGAAAGCAUUAAGCAUCCCACCUGGGGAGU
rnacentral:rRNA from 1 species